rnacentral:rRNA from 1 species
GAUGAACGCUGGCGGCGUGCCUAAUACAUGCAAGUCGAGCGAACGGACGAGAAGCUUGCUUCUCUGAUGUUAGCGGCGGACGGGUGAGUAACACGUGGAUAACCUACCUAUAAGACUGGGAUAACUUCGGGAAACCGGAGCUAAUACCGGAUGAUAUUUUGAACCGCAUGGUUCAAAAGUGAAAGACGGUCUUGCUGUCACUUAUAGAUGGAUCCGCGCUGCAUUAGCUAGUUGGUAAGGUAACGGCUUACCAAGGCAACGAUGCAUAGCCGACCUGAGAGGGUGAUCGGCCACACUGGAACUGAGACACGGUCCAGACUCCUACGGGAGGCAGCAGUAGGGAAUCUUCCGCAAUGGGCGAAAGCCUGACGGAGCAACGCCGCGUGAGUGAUGAAGGUCUUCGGAUCGUAAAACUCUGUUAUUAGGGAAGAACAUAUGUGUAAGUAACUAUGCACAUCUUGACGGUACCUAAUCAGAAAGCCACGGCUAACUACGUGCCAGCAGCCGCGGUAAUACGUAGGUGGCAAGCGUUAUCCGGAAUUAUUGGGCGUAAAGCGCGCGUAGGCGGUUUUUUAAGUCUGAUGUGAAAGCCCACGGCUCAACCGUGGAGGGUCAUUGGAAACUGGAAAACUUGAGUGCAGAAGAGGAAAGUGGAAUUCCAUGUGUAGCGGUGAAAUGCGCAGAGAUAUGGAGGAACACCAGUGGCGAAGGCGACUUUCUGGUCUGUAACUGACGCUGAUGUGCGAAAGCGUGGGGAUCAAACAGGAUUAGAUACCCUGGUAGUCCACGCCGUAAACGAUGAGUGCUAAGUGUUAGGGGGUUUCCGCCCCUUAGUGCUGCAGCUAACGCAUUAAGCACUCCGCCUGGGGAGUACGACCGCAAGGUUGAAACUCAAAGGAAUUGACGGGGACCCGCACAAGCGGUGGAGCAUGUGGUUUAAUUCGAAGCAACGCGAAGAACCUUACCAAAUCUUGACAUCCUUUGACAACUCUAGAGAUAGAGCCUUCCCCUUCGGGGGACAAAGUGACAGGUGGUGCAUGGUUGUCGUCAGCUCGUGUCGUGAGAUGUUGGGUUAAGUCCCGCAACGAGCGCAACCCUUAAGCUUAGUUGCCAUCAUUAAGUUGGGCACUCUAAGUUGACUGCCGGUGACAAACCGGAGGAAGGUGGGGAUGACGUCAAAUCAUCAUGCCCCUUAUGAUUUGGGCUACACACGUGCUACAAUGGACAAUACAAAGGGCAGCGAAACCGCGAGGUCAAGCAAAUCCCAUAAAGUUGUUCUCAGUUCGGAUUGUAGUCUGCAACUCGACUACAUGAAGCUGGAAUCGCUAGUAAUCGUAGAUCAGCAUGCUACGGUGAAUACGUUCCCGGGUCU